CUAGGAACCCUACACUCGGUAAUGAUCGUUUGUAGGGGUAACCUGCGGAAGGAUCAUUACCGAGUGUAGGGUUCCUAGCGAGCCCAACCUCCCACCCGUGUUUACUGUACCUUAGUUGCUUCGGCGGGCCCGCCAUUCAUGGCCGCCGGGGGCUCUCAGCCCCGGGCCCGCGCCCGCCGGAGACACCACGAACUCUGUCUGAUCUAGUGAAGUCUGAGUUGAUUGUAUCGCAAUCAGUUAAAACUUUCAACAAUGGAUCUCUUGGUUCCGGCAUCGAUGAAGAACGCAGCGAAAUGCGAUAACUAGUGUGAAUUGCAGAAUUCCGUGAAUCAUCGAGUCUUUGAACGCACAUUGCGCCCCCUGGUAUUCCGGGGGGCAUGCCUGUCCGAGCGUCAUUGCUGCCCAUCAAGCACGGCUUGUGUGUUGGGUCGUCGUCCCCUCUCCGGGGGGGACGGGCCCCAAAGGCAGCGGCGGCACCGCGUCCGAUCCUCGAGCGUAUGGGGCUUUGUCACCCGCUCUGUAGGCCCGGCCGGCGCUUGCCGAACGCAAAUCAAUCUUUUUCCAGGUUGACCUCGGAUCAGGUAGGGAUACCCGCUGAACUUAAGCAUAUCAAUAAGCCGGAGAAAAUCAUUACCGAGUGUAGGGUUCCUAGCGAGCCACCUCCACCGUGUUUACUGUACCUUAGUUGCUUCGGCGGGCCGCCAUUCAUGGCCGCGGGGGGCUCUCACCGGGCCCCCCCCGGGAGACACACGAACUCUGUCUGGAUCUAGGUGGAAGUUCUGAGGUUUGAUUGUUAUUCGCAAUCAGUUUUAAAACUUUCAACAAUGGGAUCUCUUGGGUUUCGGCAUCGAUGAAAGAAACGCAGCGAAAAUGCGAAUAACU
rnacentral:rRNA from 1 species